GAUCCUUCGAUGUCGGCUCUUCC
rnacentral:ncRNA from 5 species